rnacentral:lncRNA from 1 species
UUGCUGAGGCAGCCUUCUUUGGAGGUGGGACCGAUGACUUCGGUCGUUCUUGGGCGGACUACUUCUGACUACCUCACUUUGGAGGCGAGGGGACCGACCGUGUACUCUUUGUAGAGAGCGGUGUAGGCGGUGGAGGUGGUGGGGCCGAUCUUUUCGGUGUUGGAGAAUGCGGUGGAGGAGUUGGAGACCUCGGUGGAGCAGGUGGAAACCGUGGUGGAGGCGGUGGCGGGGUCAGUGUGGCCGCCGCAGGUGUUGGAGGUGAUCCAGCAUUGUCACCGCCCGCAGCACUAUGAUGCGCUGGGGAAAGAACUGGACUUAGGUUGGAAGAGUCCCUGCAAAGAAAACAAUUACAAGUUUUGUGAGCAAACUUUUUUAAAUUCAAUACAUAAUAAAUAAUAUAAGAAGUAAAAUCACGCACAAACCUAUGGUGAGGAAUUGUAAUACCCGAUUUUAAGGACAAAACCAGAUAUGCACCAUAUGUGAGUCAUAGAAGUCAAAUCUCACAUAUAGCUACAAAUAAGGGGUAAUAUCAAAAGACAAUGCAUAAAUAUAUAACGUACUUAGUAUAAAAGAGAUAACCUGAUAGCAAACAGCGGAUAGACAACUCCAAACUUCGGGUAUUAACUUCUCUCUACAGGAUCCAACUGACUGGUUGAUCAUAAGCCUAAACUUCUCCUGAGGUUUGGGGGAAAUAGCAAGAGUGAGUCCAUGUCGAACUCCACAAGUAUAGCAACUAGAUUGUACAGCUCCCACAAUCUCAUGAUCAAUGUGGCAUAAAUAAUGUAGAGUAUUAAACAAUAAACAAUGAGCAUAUUUAACACACAAGAUUCAUCACCCUUAA